rnacentral:rRNA from 1 species
ACGUAGGUGGCGAGCGUUGUCCGGAAUUACUGGGUGUAAAGGGCGUGUAGGCGGGAAUGUAAGUCAGGUGUGAAAUACCGGGGCUUAACUCCGGGGCUGCAUCUGAAACUAUAUUUCUUGAGUGCUGGAGAGGAAAGCGGAAUUCCUAGUGUAGCGGUGAAAUGCGUAGAUAUUAGGAGGAACACCAGUGGCGAAGGCGGCUUUCUGGACAGUAACUGACGCUGAGGCGCGAAAGCGUGGGGAGCAAACAG